rnacentral:rRNA from 1 species
CCAAUAGCGUAUAUUAAAGUUGUUGCAGUUAAAAAGCUCGUAGUUGAAUUUCGGGGUUUAUCCGUUGGUCGGGCUUUUGGGUCUGUACUGGCGUGAUGGAUUCCUACCUUCUGAAUAACCAGCAUGCCAUUAAUUUGGUGCGUUGGGGAAGCAGGACUGUUACCUUGAAAAAAUUAGAGUGCUUAAAGCAGGCUAUUGCCUGAAUACAUUAGCAUGGAAUAAUGAAAUAGGACGCAUGGUUCUAUUUUGUUGGUUUCUAGGAUCACCGUAAUGAUUAAUAGGGAUAGUUGGGGGCAUUAGUAUUCAAUUGUCAAAGGUGAAAUUCUUGGAUUUAUUGAAGACUAACUUCUGCGAAAGCAUUUGCCAAGGAUGUUUUCAUUAAUCAAGAACGAAAGUUAGGGGAUCGAAGACGAUCAGAUACCGUCGUAGUCUUAACCAUAAACUAUGCCGACUAGGGAUCGGACGAUGUUAAUUUUUUAAUGACUCGUUCGGCGCCUUACG